UACGGGGGGGGCAAGCGUUGUUCGGAAUUACUGGGCGUAAAGGGCUCGUAGGCGGCCAACUAAGUCCGACGUGAAAUCCCCAGGCUUAACCUGGGAACUGCGUCGGAUACUGGUUGGCUUGAAUCCGGGAGAGGGAUGCGGAAUUCCAGGUGUAGCGGUGAAAUGCGUAGAUAUCAGGAGGAACACCGGUGGCGAAGGCGGGUCUCUGGGCCGAUACUGACGCUGAGGAGCUAAAGCGUGGGGAGCGAACAGG
rnacentral:rRNA from 1 species